rnacentral:rRNA from 1 species
UACGUAGGUGGCAAGCGUUGUCCGGAUUUACUGGGCGUAAAGAGCGCGCAGGCGGUCGUUCAAGUCGCGUGUGAAAGCCCCCGGCUCAACUGGGGAGGGUCACGCGAUACUGCUCGACUCGAAGGCAGGAGAGGGAAGUGGAAUUCCCGGUGUAGUGGUGAAAUGCGUAGAUAUCGGGAGGAACACCAGUGGCGAAGGCGGCUCUCUGGGACGGUACUGACGCUGAGACGCGAAAGCGUGGGGAGCGAACAGG